GACGAACCGUGCGAACGUUGUUCGGAAUCACUGGGCUUAAAGGGCGCGUAGGCGGGCGGGCGCGUCCGGGGUGAAAUCCCACGGCUCAACCGUGGAACGGCCUCGGAUACGGGCGGCCUCGAGGGGGGUAGGGGCGUGCGGAACUCUGGGUGGAGCGGUGAAAUGCGUAGAUAUCGCUUGGAACGCCAAAGGUGAAAACAGACGACUGGGGGUGUGCUGACGCUGAGACACGAAAGCCAGGGGAGCGAACGGG
rnacentral:rRNA from 1 species